rnacentral:rRNA from 1 species
GAAUGCUGACAUAAGUAACGAUAAAGCGGGUGAAAAGCCCGCUCGCCGGAAGACCAAGGGUUCCUGUCCAACGUUAAUCGGGGCAGGGUGAGUCGACCCCUAAGGCGAGGCCGAAAGGCGUAGUCGAUGGGAAACGGGUUAAUAUUCCCGUACUUGGUGUUACUGCGAAGGGGGGACGGAGAAGGCUAUGUUGGCCGGGCGACGGUUGUCCCGGUUUAAGCGUGUAGGUGUGUGUUCCAGGUAAAUCCGGUUCACUUUAACACUGAGGCGUGACGACGAGGCACUACGGUGCUGAAGCAACAAAUGCCCUGCUUCCAGGAAAAGCCUCUAAGCAUCAGGUAACAUCAAAUCGUACCCCAAACCGACACAGGUGGUCAGGUAGAGAAUACCAAGGCGCUUGAGAGAACUCGGGUGAAGGAACUAGGCAAAAUGGUGCCGUAACUUCGGGAGAAGGCACGCUGACACGUAGGUGAAGUGAUUUACUCAUGGAGCUGAAGUCAGUCGAAGAUACCAGCUGGCUGCAACUGUUUAUUAAAAACACAGCACUGUGCAAACACGAAAGUGGACGUAUACGGUGUGACGCCUGCCCGGUGCCGGAAGGUUAAUUGAUGGGGUCAGCGCAAGCGAAGCUCCUGAUCGAAGCCCCGGUAAACGGCGGCCGUAACUAUAACGGUCCUAAGGUAGCGAAAUUCCUUGUCGGGUAAGUUCCGACCUGCACGAAUGGCGUAAUGAUGGCCAGGCUGUCUCCACCCGAGACUCAGUGAAAUUGAACUCGCUGUGAAGAUGCAGUGUACCCGCGGCAAGACGGAAAGACCCCGUGAACCUUUACUAUAGCUUGACACUGAACAUUGAGCCUUGAUGUGUAGGAUAGGUGGGAGGCUUUGAAGUGUGGACGCCAGUCUGCAUGGAGCCGACCUUGAAAUACCACCCUUUAAUGUUUGAUGUUCUAACGUGGACCCGUUACCCGGGUUGCGGACAGUGUCUGGUGGGUAGUUUGACUGGGGCGGUCUCCUCCUAAAGAGUAACGGAGGAGCACGAAGGUUGGCUAAUCCUGGUCGGACAUCAGGAGGUUAGUGCAAUGGCAUAAGCCAGCUUGACUGCGAGCGUGACGGCGCGAGCAGGUGCGAAAGCAGGUCAUAGUGAUCCGGUGGUUCUGAAUGGAAGGGCCAUCGCUCAACGGAUAAAAGGUACUCCGGGGAUAACAGGCUGAUACCGCCCAAGAGUUCAUAUCGACGGCGGUGUUUGGCACCUCGAUGUCGGCUCAUCACAUCCUGGGGCUGAAGUAGGUCCCAAGGGUAUGGCUGUUCGCCAUUUAAAGUGGUACGCGAGCUGGGUUUAGAACGUCGUGAGACAGUUCGGUCCCUAUCUGCCGUGGGCGCUGGAGAACUGAGGGGGGCUGCUCCUAGUACGAGAGGACCGGAGUGGACGCAUCACUGGUGUUCGGGUUGUCAUGCCAAUGGCACUGCCCGGUAGCUAAAUGCGGAAGAGAUAAGUGCUGAAAGCAUCUAAGCACGAAACUUGCCCCGAGAUGAGUUCUCCCUGAGACUUAGAGUCUCCUGAAGGAACGUUGAAGACGACGACGUUGAUAGGCCGGGUGUGUAAGCGCA